ACGUAGGAUCCGAGCGUUAUCCGGAUUUACUGGGCGUAAAGCGCGUGUAGGUGGUCUGUUAAGUUGGGUGUUAAAUCUCUCGGCUCAACCGGGAGGUGUCGCUCAAAACUGGCAGACUGGAGGACGGUAGAGGAAGGUGGAAUUCCGGGUGUAGUGGUGAAAUGCGUAGAUAUCCGGAGGAACAUCAGUGGCGAAGGCGGCCUUCUGGACCGCUCCUGACACUCCAACGCGAAAGCUAGGGGAGCAGACGGGA
rnacentral:rRNA from 1 species